UAUAUUGCACAUUGGAGGAAACUCUGUCGCAGCGACGCCGCGUGAACGACGAAUGCCAUCGGGUCGCAAAGUUCUGUCCUUGGGGACGAUAAUGACGGUACCCUAGGAGGCAGCACCGGCUAACUACGUCCCAGCAGCCGCUGUAAUACGUAGGGGGCAAGCGUUGUCCGGAUUUAUUCGGCGUAAAGGGUUCGCAGGCGGCCUUUUAAGUCAGAUGUGAAAGACUACAGCUCAACUGUGGUAAGCAUUUGAAACUGAAAGGCUUGAGUUAAGGAGAGGAAAGUAGAAUUCCUAGUGUAGCGGUGAAAUGCGUAGAUAUUAGGAGGAAUACCGGUGGCGAAGGCGACUUUCUGGACUUAUACUGACGCUGAGGAACGAAAGCGUGGGGAGCAAGCAGG
rnacentral:rRNA from 1 species